AACGAACGCUGGCGGCAUGCCUAACACAUGCAAGUCGAACGAGACCUUCGGGUCUAGUGGCGCACGGGUGCGUACCGCGUGGGAACCUGCCCUUAGGUUCGGAAUAACUCCCCGAAAGGGGUGCUAAUACCGGAUAAUGUCUUCGGACCAAAGAUUUAUCGCCAUUGGAUGGGCCCGCGUUGGAUUAGCUAGUUGGUAGGGUAAAAGCCUACCAAGGCGACGAUCCAUAGCUGGUCUGAGAGGAUGAUCAGCCACACUGGGACUGAGACACGGCCCAGACUCCUACGGGAGGCAGCAGUGGGGAAUAUUGGGCAAUGGGCGAAAGCCUGAUCCAGCAAUGCCGCGUGAGUGAUGAAGGCCUUAGUGUUGUAAAGCUCUUUUACCCGGGAUGAUAAUGACAGUACCGGGAGAAUAAGCUCCGGCUAACUCCGUG
rnacentral:rRNA from 1 species